CUCUCCAGGACUCAGAGACGCCAUUUCACCAGCUGCUCUCAAUAUCGCACUCACCGUCAAUCGACACCAGCCCCAACAGAUCUACUCCAAUCAAGCGUCUUCCACUGACCCACCAUCUCUAGGACCUGAACUCACCAUCACCUAAAGUAGGUAAACUCCUCCCGCAGAGCCAACCCUUAAUUAACUCAGGGGUAUUUAAGACACCCAUGGCCGUAUCUACCAUUGAGGUCACCGAGGUCCGGACCUCGGUAAUAUUUUCCGAGCUGUAUAUAACAAAACUUGUGAAAUAAUUGCACUAAACGGGGUUCUUUGUGGUACUUCCAUUUACUGACCAUGGGGGCGCUGCAUAACUACGUAGCCUCGGUUAAAGCAAACAAAAGAAGACGACAUGUAUCAACAAACCACCGCAGCCCGGACUUGCAGCGGAGGAGUGAUAAGGAAAUCCUGGAUACGGCCCUGAAGACACCUGUUGCAUCAUGGCAGCCGUUUGCUGCCUGCCUGUUGCCACAUGGCCACCUUAAGGGUGGUGUCAGCUGCUGUUUUGCUACAGUUAGGUUUUGCUUGAGUUAGGUUUUUGUUUGAAUUUAGUUUUGCUGUCUUAUAUUUAGGAUUUUAGUGUAUUUUGCUGUUAGUCGUUUGGACCAACUGGAUAAUUGUUUCUUCUGCUUUAUACUAAUUUUGGAGCCAGCUAGUGGUGGAGGCACACAGUCUGAUUCCCUUCACGGCUUGUACGGUUCACGGUAGGAGCACUGAGACACAGUUUGCAGUGAGAUUUGGUUUGCAAUGAGUUUUGGUUUGCAGUAAGCACCGGUGAUGGGUAAGUGGGACACAGCCCUGUUAGACUGCCUCCCCCUGGCUGGCAUCAUGCCCACUACCUUUUUUCCCCUCAUUGAUUUUUAGUAAUUUUCUAUAUAAAGUGUUUUUACCAAGAAUAAACAAAUACAUGUGAUUGACAUAUUGAAAUAAACUGUUAAACUUUUUCAUUAUAAUUGAACCAAGUCUGUCUUGUGUCAGUCACAAACUUGUAGAGCCUUCUUAUUUCUGAGGUGUAAUUAAAUAUCUCCUGGGGCGAAAUUCCCCAGGUGGCGUUGUCAAGCAUUUUGGUAUUUGGGUGGCUCUGCCUUUAAAAACGACCGCCCGCCACAUAAUGAUGGUCUUAAAUUAUAUUUUUGCAAGUUAAACAUUAAAAAAAUGAUGAUGGUCUCCUUAACCCUGUAAGGGCAGCCCACGGUUGUAAUUUUACAACAUUACUUUAAGCUAUCCUAAAAAAGUCAGUAAAUGUUUUGUUUUUUUAAAGGCUACAUUUACAUAGUCAAAAGGUCAUUUUGUUCAGCCUCACAAUGCUAUUGGGUAGUAAAUGUGUGUAUAGGUCCUGCCCUCUGGCCAUACACUCACACAACUUCCGAAUCUUCAAACGAGCAACAUCUCUUUGUUUUAUUGGACUGGAUUUGGCAGUAAUUUUUUUUGGUGAUUAUUACAAUGUCUAGAACAUGUACAUAUUUAGUUAUUGUGGAAUACAUUCAUCAAAUUUGAUUUUGAGCAGCUUAUGUCUUUGUUGUAAUAUUACAACACUGGGUCAGUGUGGUAGUCAAAAUAGCAUGUGUCCCUGUCAUGGAGAUUGCCCUUAUAUGUUCACAUAUGGAAAUAAAACUAAUAGAAAUAUAAUGUCUUUGAUAAUUCACUAUACAUGUAACUAAGUUCUAAAUGUGUCCUCUGUUAAGAUUUUGAAUUAAGACCAGAAUUGAAUAAAUUAAUACAUUAUUAUACUGAUAAAAGUAUGUGAAAUUAUAUCUGUAGCAAUAUUUUAAACUAUACUUGUAUCUUAUCAGUUAGUUACACACAGUUAGUUACACACAUACAUUUAACUCUGGUUCUGGCAGAAACGGUUCUUUCUGAAAUGUGUUGGGACACUUGGAUGUAUCCCUUUUUAGUAUGAUAAUUAGCCUGUUAUCAUUAGCCAGACAGCAUUGUGACUUGUUGAACUGGAUUACCUGCAUGUGUGGGUGUAUGUAUUUCUUUUAUAAUAGGCAGGAUUGUGUGACUUGUUGAACUGGUUUACGGUUUACCUGUAUGUACUGUAUGGGUGUAGGUAUUGCUUUUAUUAUAAUAGGCUAAGUCAGGUAGUAUUGUGUGACUCAAGUGUAUGUACAAUGCAAAUAGGAUUCAGAUACUUGUUGCAUCGGGACACCUGGAAGGGGUCGGUGCAUGCAUUCCUUUUAGUAUGAUUGUAGGCUAAGCCAGACAGAAUGAACACUUGUCCCACCACCCUAUCUAUUCCUUCAGGUAAUCUAUUACUAUAAUAAGCAUAUGUAUUAUUGAUACAUAUUAAUUACUUUUUCCAUGUCAGUAGCAUCAAGCAAUACAUGAGAGGCAAGCCACACCCAUGGGGGUUCAAAGUGUGGGUGAGAACUGGAAUCUCUGGAAUGAUCCGUGACUUUGAUGUCUACCAAGGCAGUGUCAAUGGGAUACGAGCCACGUCUGAACUUGUAUUGUCAGGUGAUGUUGGGAUGAAGCUUACCUACAUGCUUCCAGAAGGUCAGAACUACAAGAUUUACGCAGACAGCUACUUCACCUGUGUCCCAUUGGUAGUGAAGCUCCUUGAUCGUCGGAUUCAUUAUGUGGGAACAGCCAGGUAGGUGCACUUACCCAAUUGUAACCUUGAAGAGGAGAAGAGCUUGAAGAAAAAAGGGAGAGGAAGCUUUGACAUCCGAGUGGAGGCCAACCACAACAUCUGUGCUGUCAAAUGGUAUGACAGCAGAGCGGUCACACUUGUGUUAUCCUUUGCUGGACCAGACCCUGUGCAGAGAAUUCAACGCUGGGACAAAGCCAACAAAACCUACGUAGAAGUUGAGAGGCCUUACAUUGUGGGUACUUACAACAAGUACAUGGGAGGUGUGGAUCCCCAUGAAGUCCCGACGCUGGUACGUGUACAUCUUCUGGCACACCAUCCUUGCUGUGAUCAACGCCUGGCUCCUCAAGCGAGAAUGCAAAGCUCUAAAGAUGCCAAAGCAGGAGAUCCUGAACAGGAGACAGUUUCAGGCAGAUCUAGCAUCCUCUCUCAUCUUGGCACCGGGAGCCCAGCACCGACGGUGACAUCAAGGAGCCCGUUGAAUGCUCAGAAGAGACCAUCCUCAGGUGAUGGGAGUCCACCAAACGGGGCCCCAUCCAAGAGAUCACAACCUCCACUGGAUGUACGCAAAGACCUAAUGGCACAUUUUCCAGUGAAGACAAAGAGAGGACACUGCAGCAAAGGGUACACACAAUGCACCAAGUGUGACGUCCGUCUCUGCUUUUCCGACGAUAUGAACUGUUUUUGGGACUACCUUGUAUUCAUAUUUGAUAAAUGACUAUUCAUAAAAAA